rnacentral:rRNA from 1 species
GAUGAACGCUAGCGGCAGGCCUAAUACAUGCAAGUCGUACGGCAACACAGUUGCGAGCAAUCGCAACCGGUGGUGAGUGGCGCACGGGUGAGUAACGCGUAUGUAACCUACCCUUCUCCGGGACAUAACUCCGCGAAAGCGGUGCUAAUAUCCCAUACCAACUCAUCAAGACAUCUUCUUGAGUUGAAAGCAGCAAUGCGGUGAAGGGUGGGCAUGCGUCCCAUUAGCUGGUUGGUGAGGUAAUGGCCCACCAAGGCUACGAUGGGUAGGGGUUCUGAGAGGAAAGCCCCCCACACUGGUACUGAGACACGGACCAGACUCCUACGGGAGGCAGCAGUAAGGAAUAUUGGGCAAUGGUCGAAAGACUGACCCAGCCAUGCCGCGUGCAGGAUGAAGGCCCUAUGGGUUGUAAACUGCUUUUAGCCGGGAAUAAACACCCGUUUUAUAACGGGCCCGAAGGUACCGGCUGAAUAAGCAUCGGCUAACUCCGUG